rnacentral:rRNA from 1 species
GACGAACGCUGGCGGCGUGCCUAACACAUGCAAGUCGAGCGGAGAUCAAGGAGAGCUUGCUCAAAUUGAUUUUAGCGGCGGACGGGUGAGUAACGCGUGAGCAAUCUGUCCUACACAGGGGGAUAACAGCUGGAAACAGCUGCUAAUACCGCAUAAGACCACAGUACCGCAUGGCACAAGGGUCAAAGAUUUAUCGGUGUAGGGUGAGCUCGCGUCCCAUUAGAUAGUUGGCGGGGUAACGGCCCACCAAGUCGACGAUGGGUAGCCGACCUGAGAGGGUGAUCGGCCACACUGGGACUGAGACACGGCCCAAAACUCCUACGGGAGGCAGCAGUGGGGAAUAUUGCACAAAUGGGGGAAACCCUGAUGCAGCGACGCCGCGUGAGUGAAGAAGU